UGGGGAAUCUUGCGCAAUGGGCGAAAGCCUGACGCAGCCAUGCCGCGUGAAUGAUGAAGGUCUUAGGAUUGUAAAAUUCUUUCACCGGGGGCGAUAAUGACGGUACCCGGAGAAGAAGCCCCGGCUAACUUCGUGCCAGCAGCCGCGGUAAUACGAAGGGGGCUAGCGUUGCUCGGAAUUACUGGGCGUAAAGGGAGCGUAGGCGGACAUUUAAGUCAGGGGUGAAAUCCCGGGGCUCAACCUCGGAAUUGCCUUUGAUACUGGGUGUCUUGAGUGUGAGAGAGGUAUGUGGAACUCCGAGUGUAGAGGUGAAAUUCGUAGAUAUUCGGAAGAACACCAGUGGCGAAGGCGACAUACUGGCUCAUUACUGACGCUGAGGCUCGAAAGCGUGGGGAGCAAACAGGAUUAGAUACCCUGGUAGUCCACGCCGUAAAACGAUGAUUGCUAGUUGUCGGGAUGCAUGCAUUUCGGUGACGCAGCUAACGCAUUAAGCAAUCCGCCU
rnacentral:rRNA from 1 species